CGCACGGGUGAGUAACACGUAUCCAACCUGCCGUCUACUCUUGGCCAGCCUUCUGAAAGGAAGAUUAAUCCAGGAUGGGAUCAUGAGUUCACAUGUCCGCAUGAUUAAAGGUAUUUUCCGGUAGACGAUGGGGAUGCGUUCCAUUAGAUAGUAGGCGGGGUAACGGCCCACCUAGUCAACGAUGGAUAGGGGUUCUGAGAGGAAGGUCCCCCACAUUGGAACUGAGACACGGUCCAG
rnacentral:rRNA from 1 species